UACGGGGGGGGCAAGCGUUGUUCGGAAUUACUGGGCGUAAAGGGCUCGUAGGCGGCCAACUAAGUCAGACGUGAAAUCCCCUCGGCUUAACCGGGGAACUGCGUCUGAUACUGGAUGGCUUGAGUCUGGGAGAGGGAUGCGGAAUUCCAGGUGUAGCGGUGAAAUGCGUAGAUAUCUGGAGGAACACCGGUGGCGAAGGCGGCAUCCUGGACCAACACUGACGCUGAUGAGCGAAAGCCAGGGGAGCAAACGGG
rnacentral:rRNA from 1 species